AUUGAACGCUGGCGGCAUGCCUUACACAUGCAAGUCGAACGGUAACAGGUCUUCGGAUGCUGACGAGUGGCGAACGGGUGAGUAAUACAUCGGAACGUGCCUAGUAGUGGGGGAUAACUACUCGAAAGAGUGGCUAAUACCGCAUGAGAUCUACGGAUGAAAGCAGGGGAUCGCAAGACCUUGCGCUACUAGAGCGGCCGAUGGCAGAUUAGGUAGUUGGUGGGAUAAAAGCUUACCAAGCCGACGAUCUGUAGCUGGUCUGAGAGGACGAUCAGCCACACUGGGACUGAGACACGGCCCAGACUCCUACGGGAGGCAGCAGUGGGGAAUUUUGGACAAUGGGCGCAAGCCUGAUCCAGCAAUGCCGCGUGCAGGAUGAAGGCCUUCGGGUUGUAAACUGCUUUUGUACGGAACGAAAAGCCCUGGGUUAAUACCCUGGGGUCAUGACGGUACCGUAAGAAUAAGCACCGGCUGACUCUGUGCCAGCAGCCGCCGUAAUAC
rnacentral:rRNA from 1 species